GACGAACGCUGGCGGCGUGCUUAACACAUGCAAGUCGAACGAAGAGCGAUGGAAGCUUGCUUCUCUCAAUCUUAGUGGCGAACGGGUGAGUAACGCGUAAUCAACCUGCCCUUCAGAGGGGGACACCAGUUGGAAACGACUGCUAAUACCGCAUACGAUCUAAUCUCGGCAUCGAGGAUAGAUGAAAGGUGGCCUCUACAUGUAAGCUAUCACUGAAGGAGGGGAUUGCGUCUGAUUAGCUAGUUGGAGGGGUAACGGCCCACCAAGGCGAUGAUCAGUAGCCGGUCUGAGAGGAUGAACGGCCACAUUGGGACUGAGACACGGCCCAGACUCCUACGGGAGGCAGCAGUGGGGAAUCUUCCGCAAUGGACGAAAGUCUGACGGAGCAACGCCGCGUGAGUGAUGACGGCCGUCGGGUUGUAAAGCUCGGUUAAUCGGGACGAAAGGCCUUCUUGCGAAUAGUGAGAAGGAUUGACGGUACCGGAAUAGAAAGCCACGGCUAACUACGUG
rnacentral:rRNA from 1 species